AGCGAACGCUGGCGGCAGGCCUAACACAUGCCAGUCGAACGAACCUUUCGGGGUUAGUGGCGGACGGGUGAGUAACACGUGGGAACGUGCCUUUAGGUUCGGAAUAACUCAGGGAAACUUGUGCUAAUACCGAAUGUGCCCUUCGGGGGAAAGAUUUAUCGCCUUUAGAGCGGCCCGCGUCUGAUUAGCUAGUUGGUUGAGGUAAUGGCUCACCAAGGCGACGAUCAGUAGCUGGUCUGAGAGGAUGAUCAGCCACAUUGGGACUGAGACACGGCCCAAACUCCUACGGGAGGCAGCAGUGGGGAAUCUUGCGCAAUGGGCGAAAGCCUGACGCAGCCAUGCCGCGUGAGUGAUGAAGGUCUUAGGAUUGUAAAAUUCUUUCACCGGGGACGAUAAUGACGGUACCCGGAGAAGAAGCCCCGGCUAACUUCGUG
rnacentral:rRNA from 1 species